AUGAACGCUGGCGGCGUGCUUAACACAUGCAAGUCGAACGGAAAGGCUCCUGCUUGCCGGGGUACUCGAGUGGCGAACGGGUGAGUAACACGUGGGUGAUCUGCCCUGCACUUCGGGAUAAGCCUGGGAAACUGGGUCUAAUACCGGAUAGGACCACAUUUUGGAUGGUGUGGUGGAAAGUUUUUCGGUGUGGGAUGAGCUCGCGGCCUAUCAGCUUGUUGGUGGGGUAAUGGCCUACCAAGGCGUCGACGGGUAGCCGGCCUGAGAGGGUGUACGGCCACAUUGGGACUGAGAUACGGCCCAGACUCCUACGGGAGGCAGCAGUGGGGAAUAUUGCACAAUGGGCGCAAGCCUGAUGCAGCGACGCCGCGUGGGGGAUGACGGCCUUCGGGUUGUAAACUCCUUUCGCUAGGGACGAAGCGUUUUUGUGACGGUACCUGGAGAAGAAGCACCGGCUAACUACGUG
rnacentral:rRNA from 1 species